rnacentral:rRNA from 1 species
GCGGUGGAGCAUUGUGGUUUAAUUCGACGCAACGCGAAGAACCUUACCAGGGCUUCGACAUCCCUGACCGCGUAUGAAGUACGUUUUCACCCUCGGGUGACAGGGAGACAGGUGGUGCAUGGUUGUCGUCAGCUCGUGUCGUGAGAUGUUGGGUUAAGUCCCGCAACGAGCGCAACCCCUAUUGUUAGUUGCCAUCAUUCAGUUGGGCACUCUAGCGAGACUGCCGGUAAUAAACCGGAGGAAGGUGGGGAUGACGUCAAAUCAUCAUGCCCCUUAUGACCUGGGCUACACACGUGCUACAAUGGUUGGUACAACGAGUUGCGAGUCGGUGACGGCGAGCUAAUCUCUUAAAGCCAAUCUCAGUUCGGAUUGUAGGCUGCAACUCGCCUACAUGAAGUCGGGAUCGCUAGUAAUCGCGGAUCAGCACGCCGCGGUGAAUACGUUCCCGGGCCUU